UCCUUUCCCUAAAGAGUUAUCUAAACACAGAUUUUUCCUUCUUCCGAGGUCUGCGGCACUGUUGAGUGUUGAGGUCUAACGUCCUCCACUUUCACUCUACCCUUUCUUUGACGCUGAGGCCACCUUCUUCUUCUUCCAUUCUACCUUCUCUUCGACGCCGAUACCACUCUUCCUCUUCUCUGCGCCGACGUCCGACUGCGGAGUCCAUCGUCUUGUCUCCUAAACGCCGACUGAUACCACUCUUCUCUGCGACGGCGACGCCAGUCUCUUCUCAUCGAUCUCGCUGCCUCUCCUCCAUUUCGCCGUUGCUCCUCCAGUUCGCCUUCUGUUAGUCGGUCUCUCUUACUGGUUGAUAGAGGCCGAAAGCUAAAAUUUUAUUCUUCAGCCAACAGAAAACAAUUCACAAGCUUCUCACACAACACAUGAAUAUCUUACAUCCUUUUGCAUGCCUUCCUCUAUGCAAUGCCAUUGCAAGCACCAAUCCUUUUUCCCCAUUAUUUUCUUACUUUCAAGGUAUUAGCCAAGCUAGUUACCUUGUUUUAUAUAUGAGAUAUAUGUGAUACUGUUAGAAAUUGGAGCCAAUCUAUGUGAAGACAUUUAGAAUUAAAAAAUCAUGUUAUAUUUUAUACUUUAUUUGUAUUGAAGUUAUUACUUUUGAUUUUUAAUACUAAAAAAUUCUAUGUUA